rnacentral:misc_RNA from 1 species
GAUGAAGAACGUAGCGAAAUGCGAUAGGUAAUGUGAAUCGCAGAAUUCAGUGAAUCAUCGAAUCUUUGAACGCACAUUGCGCCUUCUAGUAUUCUGGGAGGCAUGCCUGUUUGAGCGUCAUUAAACCUCUCUCAAGUAUGAUUACUUGGAUGUGAAGGAAGAGUACCUUAAACUUAAGGAGUGUUCUCCUUUGAAAUUGAUUAGCAGAUGGUAAUGUUAUUAAAUCCCUGAUGUUGUAAGAAAUAACAGUGGUUUUGUAGACUAUUAUCUAGCUUUAAAUUAUAAUUUUUAUUAUGGUUGACCUCAAAUCAGGUAAGGAUACCCGCUGAACUUAAGCAUAUCAAUAAGCGGAGGA